UACGUAGGGGGCAAGCGUUGUCCGGAUUUAUUGGGCGUAAAGAGCGUGUAGGCGGCUGGGUAGGUCCGCUGUGAAAACUCGAGGCUUAACCUCGAGACGUCGGUGGAAACCAUCCAGCUAGAGUCCGGAAGAGGAGAGUGGAAUUCCUGGUGUAGCGGUGAAAUGCGCAGAUAUCAGGAAGAACACCCGUGGCGAAAGCGGCUCUCUGGGACGGUACUGACGCUGAGACGCGAAAGCGUGGGGAGCGAGCAGG
rnacentral:rRNA from 1 species